UGAGGAAUUUUGCGCAAUGGGGGAAACCCUGACGCAGCAACGCCGCGUGGGCGAUGAAGGCCUUCGGGUCGUAAAGCCCUGUCGGGCGGGAAGAACGCUCUUGGUCGAAGGACUGGGGGGUGACGGUACCGCCAGAGGAAGCACCGGCUAACUCCGUGCCAGCAGCCGCGGUAAUACGGAGGGUGCAAGCGUGAUGAGGAAUUACUGGGCGUAAAGGGCGUGCAGGCGGGAGAGCAAGUCUGAUGUGAAAGCCCGGGGCUUAACCCCGGAAGGGCAUGGGAAACUGC
rnacentral:rRNA from 1 species